ACUUUUGUGUGUUUUUUGAGGUUAAAUCUUGAUUCAUAUCAAUUUUUUUUUUUUUUUGAACUCAGCAAGAAUAAUUGAAGAUUGUAUUUUAGUUUAUCUUGAGGUUGGAUUUUAGCAGAUCAGAGAGUACUUUGGUAAUUGGAAGUUGGUUUUUGUUUGUGCUGAGGAACCUACUAACAGCUAUCACAUAUUGACCUUUUUUUGGUGCAUUUUGAAGUUGAAUAUUGAUUAGAUCAAAUAGUACUUUAACAGGAGUUGAGUGGGACGAACAGGGGCAAACUUGAUAUUCCAAGUGAAUUCAUUCCCCUGAUAUUUGUACAACGCGAAUGAUUUCCUGUAACCCUCCUACUUCUUAGGCACUUAAUUUCUAAUGCUACGUUGUAAUCUCUGAUUUUUCAUCUGUAAACCCUGAAAGCUUGCGCUAUGGAAACAUGGAAAUUUUGGUAAUGCAAGGUGUUGUAUAAAUCAUCAAGCUUUUUUUCUUUUUACCUUUGUAUGUUUGUGUUCUUCCUUUUAACCUUUAAAAAACAUCCAUAUGUUGCCUCUUUAUCUUUUUGUUCCUAUCCAAUUGCCUCGCACAACGGGAUUCUUGAGUUUUUUUUUCUAAAUUUUAUAGAUCCGAGAGCGCUAACAGACUUUGACAUUUUGCACGGGGUAGUAUUGAAUUUGCGGAAGACCGUUGUAGAAUUUCCUCUGGCUUUGGCUCUUUUGCUAAUCGAUUAUGCACAUGCAUGUGGAUUGUGGAAAUUUGAUUACAUUGAAUUAUUUGACAGUCGUCAAUGAUGUUAGAUGAACUCAAUGACAAUACAGAGAGUAUCGAUGAACAAAAUUUCAAAAGGCACGGGGGAGAUCACUUGAGUACUCAUCUGAAAAGGCUGAAUAAAGUACAAUGGCUCUUGAAGUAGAGAAGGACUAACAUAAAGUUUAAAGAUGGACCAAACAGUUGAAAAGUCUCCAAGUGCACAUAGGACUUUUUUGGGAGUUCAACUGGAAUAAAUGAGCAAGGAAGGCAAAGAAGCUGCUGCAUGUGAUCUAUAAGUAGCCAUAUUGAGAGGUAAGGGACCACAUAUGGUGGACAGGAAUAUCAACUCAAAAGAAUUCAUCUUUUAGUGAAAAUGUUAAAAUAACAGCUUUGUAGUUUCACACAAUGUACUGUGAACCCUUUACAGUGAUUGGUUUCAACUCCAUUGCUGGCCUAAGAUCUUUUUUUUUUUUUAAUCGGUGUUAUUUUGUUCCAAUGAAGGUAUUCUUCAGGGUAAACUUAUUUGGCAUAUUUCUACAUCAAUAUAACUGUAAAUGCUUGUAAGCUUAUGCAAUAUUAGCUCUAUGUUUUCCAUGUGCU